CUAUAAAACCCGGAAGCGUCCCGCUUCAACUCACUUUCUUGCCGGCCACGAAGUGAAAGGGUCACGGCGCUCUGAGCUGCAGCUCUGCUCCCAGGAAAUAGUCAUCAAGAGGCAGUGAACAGCAGAACACAACAAGACGCAACAAGACACAACAAGUAAAAACUUAAUAAAUCUCAUCUUUAAAAUUUAAAUUGUUCUUAUAUCUUAAGUCAUUCACAUUUUAAACUUUAAUAAAACCUUUUUGCACUUUUAA